GAGGGUGUAGCUCAGUGGUAGAGCACAUGGCUUAGCAUGCACAAGGUCCUAGGUUCAAUCCCCAGUACCUCCA
rfam:Camelus ferus unplaced genomic scaffold scaffold672, whole genome shotgun sequence.